UACGAAGGGUGCAAGCGUUACUCGGAAUUACUGGGCGUAAAGCGUGCGUAGGUGGUGAGUUAAGUCUGAUGUGAAAUCCCCGGGCUCAACCUGGGAAUGGCAUUGGAUACUGGCUCGCUGGAGUGCGGUAGAGGGCGGUGGAAUUCCCGGUGUAGCAGUGAAAUGCGUAGAGAUCGGGAGGAACAUCUGUGGCGAAGGCGGCCACCUGGACCAGCACUGACACUGAGGCACGAAAGCGUGGGGAGCAAACAGG
rnacentral:rRNA from 1 species